GUGGAUGUAAGGUGUGUGGAUGUAAGGUGUGUGGAUGAAAAGGCGUGUGGAUGAAAGGCGUGUGGAUGUAAGGUGUGUGGAUGUAAGGUGUGUGGAUGUAAGGUGUGUGGAUGAAAGGUGUGUGGAUGUAAGGUGUGUGGAUGUAAGGGCGCGUGGAUGUAAGGUGUGUGGAUGUAAGGUGUGUGCAUGUAAGGCAUGUGGAUGUAAGGUGUGUGGAUGUAAGGUGUGUUGAUUGCGGAAGUGUUGAAUAAAGAGAAGAUGCAUAAAAAUACCCAUGAAUGUAUAAUUCUUGUACAAUCCUUGUUCAUAGGCUACAGUGAGACUUUUCUCUCAAUAUUGUUAUCUGCCGUUGGUGCG
ensembl:lncRNA